rnacentral:rRNA from 1 species
UCCACGCCCUAAACGAUGAACACUAGUCGUCGGGAUGCUAGUCAUCUCGGUGAUGCACUUAACAGAUUAAGUGUUCCGCCUGGGGAGUACGGUCGCAAGAUUAAAACUCAAAGGAAUAGACGGGGACCCGCACAAGUGGUGGAGCAUGUGGUUUAAUUCGAAGAUACGCGAAGAACCUUACCUAGCCUUGACAUUGAGAGAACCUGCCAGAGAUGGCGGGGUGCCCUUCGGGG